GAAAUGCGAUAAGUAGUGUGAAUUGCAGAAUUCAGUGAAUCAUCGAAUCUUUGAACGCACAUUGCGCCCCUUGGUAUUCCAUGGGGCAUGCCUGUUCGAGCGUCAUUUGUACCCUCAAGCUUUGCUUGGUGUUGGGUGUUUGUCUUCCCUGGGAGACUCGCCUUAAAACAAUUGGCAGCCGGCAUAUUGGUAUUGGAGCGCAGCACAAAACGCGCUUCCCCAUAUUUGUCGGCGUCCAUCAAGACCAUUUUUUUCACUUGACCUCGGAUCAGGUAGGGAUACCCGCUGAACUUAA
rnacentral:misc_RNA from 1 species